GGUUCUUGAAAGAGUAUUGCAGGAGUGUUAGUGCAAGCUAAUUAGAAUGUGUACAUACAGCAUACGUGGUAGAAAUUUAUAUAUGUAUGAAAUAAAAAGUGCGUUUCGACAUAAAACAUGAAAUAACACUGUACACAUAGGUGAUGACAUAUAUGACAAAUUAACAAAAGAAGCAUCCGGACGAAGCACAUUUACAUUGGGUAGAGCCCAUAUAACGGACAACGUAAGAAUGGACGCACACAUAAAGAAUGUCUUACAGACAGGUGGGAAGACUUACUAGACAUAUAGGACAACACAAAUCAUAUAUAGGUCAAGAGCAAGAUGAAGAGACAAGUAUGAUGAUGAAGGCUGAUGUCCAGCUAACUGGAUACCUUGCACUGGGGUUUCUUCUGGCUGUGGUUCCAUUCCGGGUUCUUCAGGUUGGAUAAACCUUUCAAUUUCACGUUCUUUAAAGAAUGUCAACAGAAGAUGUAAGAUGGUAACGUAAAGGUGUUCACACAGACACACACGGAUGCUAAGAGUCACAAAACAAAAACAUACGACACAUGCAAGGUGGUCGCUGCAGAAGAGGGGAGAUCUCCAUUUUCUUUUUCUAUUUCUGGUGUUGGGCAUUGAGCCAGAGUCUGUCUGCCUCCCCAUCUCCCUCUCUGGUUUUAUUAAAGACCAGGUCUUCUUAGGUAGACCAUGCUGAUCUCCAACUAACAGAGACUCACCUGCCCCUCCCUCUGGAAGCUGGGACUAAAGGCAGGUGCUACGCGCCUAGGGUUUCAUUUAUGGUGGGGAGUCGCUCUAACCACUGAGCUACCUCCCAGCCUCCAGAUGCUAACUUUCUUACACUUGAGCUUUCUGUUAAUGAACGGUUAUUACUAGGUUGGUGGUAGACGAGCUGACUUGAAACCCCCACUGGCAAUCGUUUGGGGAUCCAAUGUCACCAUCAAACUCUGCAUCCGUAAGCUGAACCUUUCAGAAUUGUUCAUUUUCGUUGAGACUAAGCAAAUGAAAGAUUCUAAUUCGAAAGAAGCAUAAUUGUUUGCAAAAAAAAAAAAAAAGGUAGUCGGGCGUGUUCAGGGAUGCUCCUGUGUAUGAUUUAAGCAGGAAUGUCACCCUACAUCACUAAGAAAAGUCCCCAGGAUGUGAAAGACAGACACUUAUGUAUGUGUAUACCUUCAACAGGGGGCGUCUCUUUUCUACCAAUGGUAAUGGUGGCUUUCUCUUCAUAGAUUGUCUCCUCAGGAAUCUCUUCCACUUAAAAACAGUUAUAGCGUUUUAGGCUGUAUUCAGACUGGAACCCCACGGCUGCUAUGUUAUACCUUACAACAUGUUAUCCAGCUAUCUUAAAACACCAAUAGAGCCAACACACGCGACAGAAGACACAUAAAUAUAUAAGAUCCACCGUAAGUGGCAAUGACUAAGGCCAGGUGAUGAAGUUGUCAUCUUCCCAAGAGGUAAAGAGCGCCAUGUACCUGGGGCGGGAGGUGCCUCUGGCUCUUCAGGCACAGGAGCAGACUCUCUCUUUUCUGGGGUAAUUUUCUUGGGUGCUUCCGGCACUUUAAAGACAUUAAUGUUGUUUAUCAUUAAGAACUUAGAAGAUGAACAAGAUUCUUCAAAAGGCUGGCAAAGAGCACAGUGCAGAGAACUCGGACCUCGGUCUUAGAAGAUGUCAUGGGGGGAAUGGUUUCUGAGUCAGUCAUGGUUAUGUGUGUGCAUUCUCAGCCUUCCUUGUCUAUCUGCAUCGUGAUAUUGUUUUACAAGUAGAUCGUCCUUACUAGACUGAUGCUGACACAUGAGAAAACGCCUGCUUUACCUUGUCUGGGUAAAUGUAUAUCCUACCAAUGUGACUCUUUUUAAAUGCAAAUAACCUUAAGAUUGAUGUCUGUAACCUUGACCCUAAGCUCCUCAUGCAUAUUCCUAACUCCAUGCCUGAAAAGAAUCUGUCCACCAUUUCUUUCUUUCUAACAACAGUCCAGAAUCCAGAGAAUUAUUCUCUUGGUCACUUAACCUCAGUUCCUACAAUGAUCUUGUUUUCUCAGCACUGUGGGUGGUUAGUUUCUAUAGUCCAAGCCUACUCAUUUAUAGUCUGCAAAACUUUCGAAGCCUCCUGCUGCAGAUGUGUACAAAAACGAGAAAAUCUUAUUCCUACAAAAAAAGCCUUUCUAUCUGGAGUUAUCUUUUAAGAUGGUCUACAAACCCAUACCCAAAUUAUACUUUAUCUGAGAGUCCCUGAAGUUUUACACCCUUCUGCCUUUGGAUCUUUCAAUAUAGCUGCCACCUUUUUCUAAUUUCUGUAUGUAAAAAAAACAAAUCUGUCAAAAUAUCUAUCAAAAUAAAAACCAUUUCUUCCUCAUAGCUUUCUGUGGUCUCUCUACCUGAAUCUUUGCUGGUCUGUCUUUCUGUCCCUCGCUUGGGAUGUUAUCACUUCCUGUCUAUAGAGUUGUCCGGUCGUCCUAUUCUCCCACCAUAUUUAAGUUGCUUGAAGAUGGGGGCAUGUUUUACACGUUCUAAAAUGUCAUCUUCUUGAUAGUAAUAUCAACCCAAUGUGGUGGACUGAGCUGUUGAUGCCUUUUCUAGCCCUGCAGCCAUGGACUGUAUCAACACAAGCUUCACUCUCUCCAUCCUGUUGGUCUCUCUUUGCUGUCAUCGUAUUUAUGAAAUGUGCUUUUUACAUGAGCGCUGUCUUUUUUUGUUCUAAGGAUUGUUAUGAAAUGCUUAUGGGUGAAGAUGUAUGUCUCUUCCUGACAGAUACCUUUUUCUGGCAGGACUUCUGGUUUUUUGGUAACAGGCACGGGUUCUUUCUUGACUGGAGCAAGUUUCUUCGGCACCUCGGGGACUUUGAAGAUAUUAGUUUUGUUUUAGAUAGACAGUUUGAGAACACCUUAUGAGUAAAACUAUCUGCAAUUAAUGGAGCAGUGUUAGACUUAAUGGGAAGAAACGAGGACAGUUUUGCCCCUGGUAAGUCAUAAGUUAAAGGACUCUUACUGGAUCCCACUUCUAGGCUAAGCUUUUAAGGACGAUGAGUUGGAUGAUGACGUGAAUACCUUCAGCUUCUGGUGGUUCUGGCUUCUUAACGACCGGAACUUUCUUCAUCGGCGCAGGCUUCUUUGACACCUCAGCAGUAGCAAGUUCCAUAAAGAAGGAAGAAGAUGGAUAUUGCCAUAUGGUGUGUAAUCCACAGAAAACCCAGGCAACCACACUUUCCUGUCUAUGCAGCAGACCCUGACCCAUACCUGGUGCAGGUGGAGGUGGAGCUUCGUAUUCUUCCUCUUCUACAACGGGGGCUGGCUCCUCCUCCUGAGCGGCGACUUCUUCCGGUUCUUCAUAUACUUUAAAGAUAUCGGUCAAUUGCAUGUCAGUGUGUGAGACAAAAUUAUAAAACGCAGAAAAUACCCAAGGCGAUGGUCUUGAAUCCUUCCCUCGCUGGGAUUUUUAUUAAGAUGACACCCGUCCUGACUUGCUUUCUAAUGCCAUCCACACCCAUCAACGUCCCCAUCUCCUUUCUUAAGGGCAUCGGAGAAGCUUGGCUCAGUACAGAUCAUGGCAACAGUGACCUGUGGCUUGCAUAGCUACUGCUGACUGUCAACUUGAGGUCCAAGCUAAUUUAGAUAAUUAAAAGGAAGACCAUGACCAAGGAAGAGAGAGUGAGAGGAGAGUCAAGGAGGCAGAUGAAGUCCGAGUUAGAAAUGGUCAUAAAUGGAGCUGGACGAAGUCAUCACAAACAGAAAAUACAUGUAGACAGCAGAAGACAUUCCCUGCCCUUGAAGAAAGAUAUACCUUCAUCUGGAGGAAGCUCAGGCUUUUUGCGAGAAAUCCGAAGUGUUUUCUUUUCAACCGUGGCUUCUUGGAGCUUUAAAGAUAUUGAUCAUGGAAGAUUAUCACAAUGAAUCUCACAAAUGUCAUAGACUAAAUAAAUAUCCACAAGGCACAAAGACUUGCCAUGUAAGAAAUGGAACUAGACAACAUAUUCAGCAACAACAGAGAACAGCGGACACGGCCGUGAGUCAAGGUCGACACAACGACAGGACAGAGGGUUGAAAUCUGAUCAGUGAAUGGAAGAGAGGAAAGAAUACAGAGACAUUAACCUUAUAACCAGGAGCUCAAUUAAUUAGAGUUAUAUGAAAUAGCAACGGAAAACUUUAUUUAAAUAUCACAUCAUGAAAAAGAACUGUGAAAAGGUGAGUGAAUCAAUAAUUCAAUAUUUAUGGUGAAACACAAGUUAUUUUGAAAUUAUUGAUUAUGGAAAUGCUUAAAAUAAUCGAUCGAUGAAACUAGCAUUAAAAAAAAACUUUGUAAAAGCAAGUCUCUCAGACUUGGACACGUAGUAUUUUAGUCAUUUAAAAGCUUCUAGAGGAAUCUCAUUCUGUCUCUUACCAUUAUUCUGAGACAAAUCCCAUCACUGAAUUCCACUUCAACAUGAUUGACUAGCUCGUCCCCCACAGACAAGCCAUGCCAGCUGGUCCACAGCUCCUGACGAACCCUUUGUGAAUAAGAAGCCCUCUUCACAGUUCUAACAAGACUUACUUUUUC